CAAUGUGUCAAUUUUAUUGGAUCACAUGACUGGCUGGUUCUGGAGAUGAUCUGCUGUUGACUUCUCUUUCCAAUAAGCUCUAGAUCAACAUUUAGAUUUCUCUAUGCUGGAUUUGGCUGGUUAGUAACUAAAAAAAUCCAGCAGGACUAGAAAUCUAGAAACAUUAGACUCCAUAUCUUGUGGUAGAGUUGUGAAGCACAAGGUCAAAGAACAAUUUCCUUCAGCACUCAAGAACUGAAUGAGGUCAGUUUCAGCCCAUACAUAGUAUGCCUUUCGUGAGUUUCCCCACGCUCCAGAGAGUAAAGAGGGAUGAAUUCUUUGAACAAGCUGGAAAGUACAUUUUAGGUGCUGUGAUUGCUGCAUGCAUUUUUUGGGGCUUGAUGUAUGCUUUACUCAUGUGGUUCUAUAGAUGGAAGUGUGAAAAAGAAGAAAAGAAAAAGAAGGAUGGAAGCUGCGGGAGCUGAGUAACAGUUUAUGGUUUCCUCAAAAAAACCCAAACAACCAACAACUUUUUCCUUGAAUUAUGAUGAGCCAAAGCCAGUAAUUUAGUUACACUGUGAAUAAACAGUGCAAAUCUAGUGCUA